rfam:Colletotrichum orchidophilum strain IMI 309357 Scaffold_9.1, whole genome shotgun sequence.
GCCUUGCUAGCUCAAUCGGUAGAGCGUGAGACUCUUAAUCUCAAGGUUGCGGGUUCGACCCCCGCGUGAGGCU